AAGAAAAAUUGAAAAGCAUUAAAAAAGAGUUAAAGAUGAGCUAAAAAGAGUCCAUGUGCUUGCAAAUUGACGAUUUCCAUAUUUAUUUUGAGAAUCAAUGAAUUCAUCUUAGGACCACAAUUGGUACCCAUUACUUGUUACGUAUGGAUGUUCAUAGACAGCGUUAAAUAAUCAAAAGUAUUUCUUUAAACUUUUUAAUGUCUUUGUUUACUUUUUAUGCAUUAAAAU
rnacentral:rRNA from 14 species